AAUAUAAUAUAUAGUAUAUAUAAUAUAUAUUAAUAUAGUAUAAUAUAAUAUAACAUAACAUAUAUAAUCAUAAUAUAUAUUAUAUAUAUAUAAACAAGCUAGAAAUGUACUGAACAGAAUGGAAGAGGGGAGAUCAAAAUAAUUAGUACUGUAAGUACACAUAUAAUUCAACUAGACAAGCCUGUAUUUAAGACAGGCACCAUACUCUGAAUAAUUUAGAAAGAUCUAAGAACAACAAGAGCAACAAAUAACAGAAAAACACAAUCUAUAUAGAAAUCCUGAAAUUCGAUUUAGAUAAGAUUCCUUAAAAAUAUGGGUCCUUUAAAAUUUGAAGUCCUUUGUUAGGUGCUCAAGUUUGAGAGCCUAAGGUGAAAGAAUCCAUCAUUUCUGGCAUCCAUGUAUUACUAAUAAGGGAUAUGAGAUUGUGAGAUUAGAGGGAACCCAUGAGAGAAAAUGUUUCUGAUUGUCUUUAGGGAGUAGUCUCAGAUUUAUAUAAACACAGGUGUUACCAUUGACUCCAGAGAGCUCCUUCUUCUUGGGGCUUUCAUUGAACUUGAUUCCUAGUAUUACUUAAUAAUUAUAAUGAUUUUAUAGUUAGCUAUCUCUCAUUCCCUUUUGGACAAUGAUCACGUCCACUCUGCCUUUGCAUUUCCUUUGUUUAUUCUUAUUUGUAGGAAAAUUUUCUGUAUACCAACUAGCAUAAUUACUAGUAAUCCUGGUAAAAUAAAAAUUUAAAAAAACUCGUCAUAAUAAGACUAUGCAUAAUAUUUACUGAGUUAACCACAGUUGUACUUGGCUAAACUGGCCAAUAAUUUUAACGUAUUUUUUAUAAUGGAAACUUCUAUUAAUUCUGACAACAGAGGGGAGAAGUCAGCACCCAUUCUUACAAUUUUAGCCUUUGACUCCACUAGCACAUCAAAUUAAAUUUUGACAUUAUGAUUUUUCCAAAAGAUUUUUUUAUUAAUAUGCAGUAUCAACAAUAGAAAUAUGCAUAUUCUGUCGCCUCCUUGAAGCAUACAUUCCAUCCCCCACCCCCACUCUAUUCUCCACCCUCUUUUCCCACACUGUGUGCCUGGGAUGCUGACCUUCACGGACUGCAUCAACAGGUACCCUUGCCCUUUGGCUUCUAGUUGAAUUCGGCCAGUGGGAUGCACUAGUGGGGAUCAGAGGGUGAAAGGAGUGUUUUCCCUGGCCCACUCCCUCCUGGGAUCUUGCAGACUGACUGCCGUUCUGAGACAUAGUUUCUGACAGGGGGCCCUUCCUUCCACAAUUCUACUUUUGAGCUCAGCAAAGAGCUCCCUGCUUCUGCCUCUUCAAACUUUCUGCUGGUACUUGUCUUCCUAUACUGUUCCACCCCUUGUUGCUUUGCCUAAGCCUUGCCUUCACUUUUACAAAAUUUCCCUUUAACAAACCCUCCUUAAUAAACAAAAUUGUCUAUGUCAUCUGUUUCUUGCUACACCCCUGACUGAACACUUCUCCUCCAAACUCUUGAUUUGAAGGAGUGAGAACACUCAAACGUAGUGCUCGUAAGCUUAUAGGGCCCCUAAGUAUGGAAACCAGAGAUCCGGUGGGAUAGUACCUUCCUGAAUUCAUUUUAGAUACCUGGUCUGGUAAAGAAGCCUUGUUGUUACUCAUUUGACAAAGACAUUGAAGUUUGUAUCAAGGUUCAGCAGAUGCUCACCAUAACUGCCUAUCAGUCUGCUUUGCUAAAAGGAAAUUACACCUCCCGGUGCUUUGCUUGUGGGUGUCAGAGUUGGACACAAGGAGACAGUUCAUUCAUUUGGGCCAUGUGCAGUGAUGGAAGGCCAUUUAUACUGAUGUAAAUAUGUAUACCUAUAUGACUUUAUGCUUACAUGCAAGACAUCUUCAGAUUCUAAGUGAUAAAAUCCUUAAAAUUAGCAUUUUCCAAGAAGAUCUUAACUUCAUGACAAGACCGAAACAUUUGUGUUAGUAGACGGUAUUCACCUAAUUAAUGAUGAUGACUUUCUAUAAUACUUUAGGUCAGGUAGCACUGACCUAUAUGAGAUGGACUGUCUCACUUAAGAAAAAAAUCCGUGAGGGUGUUGUUCUCAGAUAUUGGACCUGAGGAUCAAACAUUUUAUUAACGUUCUCAAAUCAUGUAGCAACAAGGAGCAAAACUGGAAUAUAAACUGAAACUGACUCUAAAUAAUAAUCUCUUAAUAAUCAAUCUCAUGAUUAGCGUUUUGGUGCAUUUGUAGAAAAGCAACCGUUUAUAAAGCCAUUCAUUGUCCCUCUAGGGGUAAGUAACAGAGCGUAUAAAAUAAGUUGUAUGUUGAUAGCUGCAUAUAAACAGUUAUCUGCUACUGAUUAGAACUUGGCAUAAAUUAUAUAUCAAUUCUAACUCAAAGACAUUUUCAAAUAAUUUUCAUCAUUUUUGUAUGUUUAAUAGUUUCAUUGUAUCUUACAAAAUCUUGGACAAUGAUUUCUGAAUUCAGUAAAUAAGAUAUGGGCACCCCUCAAAUUAUUUUCUUAACUCUGAAACAGUAUGUUAAAUAACAGUGUAUCUUCUUUCCUACAAAAACAGAUUCUGAUUGUCCUUCAUUUGCAUUUCUUUUGUUAACUACAUACAAGUUUUGUAGCUCAUGUAAAUAAGGAAAAGCAAAGUUUUGUUAUCUGGAAUGUGGAUGAAGUUAUCCUGCACUUUUCCUUUCUUUUCUUUUUAAAAAUAUGACACUGUUUUUCUUUUAUUUUCUCUGGGACACAUCCAAAGGUUAGUAUUUCCUUUUUCAGCAGUUUUCAUUAGGAAGGGUACUGGCAUGUGGCUUUUGGCUGGGAUUAUUAAUAGGGGAACUCAUUCUAAUGUCUCAUCUACUGCAUUGUUUCCAACUUUUGGUUAACCAUUGGCCCAAAAUAUUUGUAGAAUAUAAAAUAUUUUAGGUUUAAAGUAGGUUUUAAAGCUUCCUCUGUUAGUUUCUCAAUUACAGGGCUGAGUACGUGUUUAUGUCUGUGUCCCCGGCAUUCAGGACAGUGUUUGGCACAUGUGUGCUUUAAAAAAGUAAUAAAGAAAAUAAUAAUAAUAAUAAUAAUAAUAAUAAUAAUAAUAAUAAUAAAGAAGAAGAAGAAGAAAAGAAGAGGAAGAAGAAGAAGAAGAAGAAGAAGAAGAAGAAGAAGAAGAAGAAGAAAUUUUUUCACGAAUUUCUUUUUUUUUAAAUAUUUUAGAGAGAGAGAGCACAAGCAGGGGAGGGGCAGAGAAACAGGGGGACAGAGGAUCUGAAGUGGGCUCUGUGAUGACCACAGCAAGCCCAUUGAGGGGCUUGAAUUCAUUAUGAGAUCAUGACCUGAUCCAAAGUCAGAUGCUCAACCGACUGAGCCACCCAAGCGCCCCCUAAAGUUGUUUUCUGUAUUGAAUGAGAUAACCUUAGGAUAGCCUUUCCCUCUCCCUGGUUCAGGAAUACCAGGGACAGAAGUAUGCAUUGCUUUGUUGUUGAAGACAUAAAAUGUGCUGGGUAUAUACGUAGUCUUUAACAGAAAAGUUAUAACAGCUGUGCUGACCACUGAGUGCUAAAAGACCUAUGAGAGGUUAUUGGGCAGAGGAAAAGCACAGAGAGAAUUUUAAAAGCUGGGUAAGACUUGAAAAAUACCCUCAAAUGACCUAGAAGUAAGUCUUCCUUAAUUUUUUUUCCCACCAAAAGACCUCUAGUAGCAGAAAGAAACAAAUAUGUAUCCCUUGAGAAGUUUUAGGGGUACAGCUUGGAGCAGCUCAUUGCAAGUGUGUCAUUUCCUGAUAGUCUCCUGCUUUAUCUUUAAAAAGAGAAAAAAUUACAAUAUGUACCAUAUUAUAUCUGUUUUCUGUCUAUGUUAUAAUAAUGUUUUCCAAAACUCUUUUAGUAUAAUUGAUGCCACAAAGUUAGAUAUGACAUUUCUAUCAUGUUUAGCAUACCAGUUUUAUACCGAUGUGUUUGAAUAAAACUAACCUAAAGGAGUCCCACAUGCCCAGUCUCUUUGGGCAUACAUGACAAUUAAGCUUUACAUUAUUAAAAAGUCACUACUAUGGAUUAACUACCCAUGAGCAGGGUUAUAUCACUAAGUAGAAUGACCAUAUAAUUUAUUCUCCUAACUAGAACAUGUUUGAAUAUCAAAGAGGGCACACUUAGGCAAGAUAAACUAGCCAAGACUGUCCCAGGUAAACCAGGCCUGACCUGUUUUUGCUCACACUUAUGACACCAAUUGUGUGGGUAUUUUCCUCACACGAACCAUUUCUGCAACUCUUCAGACACCAGCUGGGUGUCUAACAAUUCAGUUCCCACAAGUUAAAGGGCUCAGUCCCAUAAGAUGGCCCCCACUACAAAAUUAAAAAAAAAUUUUAUGUUUAAUAUUUUUGAGAGAGACAGAGAGCAAGCAGGGGAGGGGCAGAGAGAGAGGGAGACACAGAAUCUGAAGCAGGCUCCAGACUCUGAGCUGUCAGCACAGAGCCUGACACAGGGCUCAAAUCCAUGAAUUAUGAGAUCAUGACCUGAACCAAAGUCAGACACUUAACUGACUGAGCCACCCAGGCACCCCACUUCCAGUACCAAGCAUAAGUGCUGAGCUUCCCACACUUCUUACCAACCAGCUGUAAAUUGGGGCUUUCCACAACCCCCUCCUCAGUUUCAAUAAUUUUCUAGAAUAACUCACAGAACUCAGGAAAACAGUUUGCUUACUAUAAACAAUUUAGUAAUAAAGGAUAAAAUUCAGGAAUAACCAAAUGGAAUAUAUGCAUUGAACAAGGUAUGGAAAAGAGGCAUGGAACUCACAUGCUUUCUCUUAGUGUGCAAUCCUACAGCACUUCAAUGUGUUCACCAACUCAGAUGCUCUCACAACCCCAUUUAAGAGUAUUUUUUAUUUUAAUCAAGUUUCUAUUACACAGUCAUGAUUGAUUAAAUCAUUGGCCAUUGGUAUUUGAACUCAAUCUGCAACCCUUGUCUCCUAUGGUCCAGGGAUGGGGCUGAAAUUCGCGUGGUGGGUUUCUUUGGCAACCAUAUUCUAGGCUGAAGCUAUCUAGGAACCUACCAAGAGUUACCUCAUUAGGAUAAACUCAGUUAUGGUUGAAAGGGUCUGGUUAUGAAUACCAAAUGAUAUUCCUGUCACCUGUAUUACUCAGGAAAUUCCAAGAGUUUUAGAAACUGUGUCAGGAACUGAGGACAGUGACCAACAUAUAUAUUUUCUACUGUAUCACACCAGAACAUAUAGUAAUCUAAGUUAUAUAUGGAAAUUCUCGGUACAUCUGCUUAAGCAAGAAAGUCAUAGACUGGAAUGUAGACAUCUUAUAUAUCAAAAAUACUUGCAGGAAGUAGACUAGGUGGAACAUCUUAAUCAACAAUAUAAAAUAUUAGGACUUUUACUUUCAGCAAUUCUGGAUGAACUGAUACCAAACUAGCCAUCUCAUUGUAAGCAAAGAUACAACUGGGCAAAAAAUAUGAUGGAAAUAUUUUUUUCAAUAUUGGCUUAACAGGCAGCACAAGUCUAUAUUACCUGGAAGAAGGGAAACUCAUGAGGUAGGCCUCAUGAUUUCAUACACUCUCUGCCUGGACAUAAUUUCCCAACUGUGGCACAGGAAGCAGGCGUCUAAGCAGAGCAUGAUGUUUAGAGCAUUUGAAGCUACUGGCAUUUGCAAAGUAGGGCACCACUUAAGAAGAAGCUAUGAAGGGGAGAGGUCCAGAAAUCUGUGAAUGUUAUACUCUAUAGGCACAGUGUCAAACUACUUAAGGAUUACCAGAGAACAAUUGUUAAGGGGUCAAAAAUGGAAGAGAAAUUAUAGAGGUCAAGUAGUGCUGAUGGCAGUGUCAUGAAUCUGGUUCAGCCACAUUAGAAAGACCUUGUUAACACCUUGUUAAUACCACUGGCAUUCAUCUGAAACACAUACAAUCAGAUCUGAGAUAAAACCUCAAUGUAUUUUUUUAUUUUUGAUAUAAUUUAUUGUCAAAUUGCUGUACAUACAACACCCAGUGCUCAUCCCAACAAGUGUCCUCCUCAAUGUCCAUCAUCCAUUUUCCCCUCUCUCCAUCCCCUCCCCUCCAUCCACCCUCCAUUUGUUCUCAGUAAAACCUCAUUUUAGGAUUAAGGACCACACUCCCAAAUAAGGCCUAAUCUACUCUAUUCUAACAAAGUCAAAAACCAAACCUUAGCAAAUAUGCCAAGGAGAAAGUUUGAAGGUAGAGACAUGCCAAGUUAGAGGAGCUUGGGAAAUUCUUUGAGGAGCAGAUCAGCUUUAACAUACCUUAAAACCAAGACUUUACAAGUUUAAAGGUAAUGAAACAGUAAUUGAACUGUCUUCUAAAAAAAAAAAGAAAAGAAAGAAAAACAAAAGAA